AAACCACAGUAUUGGAUUACAAGAUAUAAAUAAUGUCCUUCGACUUUAAACAAUGCUUGGUUAACGUUCAAAGAAAAUAUUGUGUUGAUGGGUAAAACUACAAGAAAAGUACAGAUUAUCAUGGUUAAUUCAAAAUAUAGUAUAAAGAAUUUGAUUCUAAGGAACAGCAAGAAAAAUUAAUGGAAGAUCUAGAAGCCUUCGCAAUGGUGAUCGUCAUCGUCGGAUAAUACUGACAUGAUAUGGCACACGAAGAAGACACCCCUUGUGGCUGUAUUUUAAGUUUUCCUGUUAAUAUCUGGCUGAUACUAAUAAAUGUAUAUCUGGUAAAUAAAAUUUAUUAUAAUAAUUAAA
rnacentral:lncRNA from 1 species